GAUGAACGCUAGCGGGAGGCCUAACACAUGCAAGCCGAGCGGUAUUGUUUCUUCGGAAUUGAGAGAUCGGCGUACGGGUGCGUAACACGUGUGUAACCUUCCUUUAUCUGGGGGUUAGCCUUUCGAAAGGAAGAUUAAUACUCCAUAAUAUAUUGAACGGCAUCGUUUAAUAUUGAAAGCUCGUGCGGAUAGAGAUGGGCACGCGCAUGAUUAGCUAGUUGGUGAGGUAACGGCUCACCAAGGCGAUGAUCUUUAGGGGGCCUGAGAGGGUGAUCCCCCACACUGGUACUGAGACACGGACCAGACUCCUACGGGAGGCAGCAGUAAGGGAUGUUGGUGAAUGGGUGAAAGCCUGAACCGGCCAUCCCGCGUGAAGGACGACUGCCCUAUGGGUUGUAAACUUCUUUUGUAUAGGGGUAAACCUACCCUCGAGAGGGUAGCUGAAGGUACUAUACAAAUAAGCACCGGCUAACUCCGUG
rnacentral:rRNA from 1 species